UACGUAGGAGGCAAGCGUUGUCCGGAGUUACUGGGCGUAAAGAGCGCGUAGGCGGCGCGGUACGACCGCUGUGAAAGCCCCCAGCUCAACUGGGGAGGGUCAGCGGUAACGGCCGUGCUAUGAGUGCAGGAGAGGGAAGUGGAACUCCGGGAGUAGCGGUGAAAUGCGUAGAGACCCGGAGGAACACCAGUGGCGAAGGCGGCUUCCUGGUCUGCGACUGACGCUGUGGCGCGAAAGCUAGGGGAGCAAACGGG
rnacentral:rRNA from 1 species